rnacentral:lncRNA from 10 species
AGUCUCCACCAUCUCGAUGGCUUGCUUCAUUUCCAGCUUCUUGUACAAAGAAACAAUGCUUGAUUUGGUUUUCUGCCCUCAUGAGAAGCCGCGGUUCCUGUGUAUUCUCAGCCCACGGUAAUCACCUCCCCAACCAUAACACCCUCCCUGACUUUCUUCUCACUGAGCUCGCCUUGACCUUGCCCUGUUCAACUCCAGAGGCUGCCCUCAUUCUUCCCAUACUGGAUGCUUUGUGUCUCCUGACGUGCUGGGUCCUCCCCUCUGCGCCCUCCACACCCUGACUCGCUCGUGCUUCGCUGCCAGCCUCUCUGACCACUUCUUCUCAAUCUCCUUCCGCACUUUCUUUUCCUUGCCUGCGCCACGAGAGUGAGAGCUUCUCAGAGCCCCAUCCUCAGUGAGCUUCCAGCUACUCACUGACAACUCUAGCCGCAACCUCCCUCCUGAACUGGAAACUAAGUCCAGUAAAACAAUACAUUCUGAAAGCUGUACCAGUUCUCUCUGAAACAACCUACACCAAGUCAACUGCGUCUUCCACCUGACAAUUCUUCAUUUUCCAGGCUUAGCAUGCCCUGGAAUUUCAACCACUUCCUGUAGGGGAUGGCUCAGGAGCACUUUAUCUUCUUGGUCUCCAUUCCCUGAAUUCUCUCUGAUUUUAUGCCCAGCUUCCAAUGGAACCUUUAGAAGUUUGUCAGGGAGUGAAACCCUCAGCCUCCUUACUUGUCUCUCACUUGGUAGUGACUCCAGUGCCCACACACAUCUUCGAUUCCAGCCUUUAAGUGAUCCAUCAGCUGCCAAACAAACACAAGAAAAUGAUUGCUGGAGAAACGCGAACUCUGAAAGACACACAGGACAACUAAGACACUUUAAAAAACAAAGGAGCCUUUAAUUUUCUGGAGCCUAUCUGACUUUCUAUCACUGUGUUCAUGUAAUAAAAUAUUUGGUGCCUUUCAUAGUAAUUUCAUAGUAAUUUCAACUUUGGUUUAAAGACUCUGUAGAUAAGUUUCUUCAUAAUUCACAUAAUACGUAAUGAAAACAGGGCACCUGGCAUUUGCUUUGGAUAAUACUUUUCUAGAAUGAUCUAGGAAAUUUCUCAUUACUGAAAUCAC